rnacentral:rRNA from 1 species
AGUGAACGCUGGCGGCGUGCCUAAUACAUGCAAGUCGAACGAAGUGGCGCACGGGUGAGUAAUAUAUAGUUAAUCUGCCCUACACAGAGGAACAACAGUUGGAAACGACUGCUAAUACCUCAUAGUGUAGGAUGAGACUAUAUCGUAUCAGCUAGUUGGUAAGGUAAUGGCUUCCCAAGGCUAUGACGCGUAACUGGUCUGAGAGGAUGAUCAGUCACAGUUGGAAUGAGUUACGGCCCAAACUCCGAGUGGAGGAAGCAGUGGGGAAUAGUGCACCAUGGGGGAAACCCUGAGGCAGAAACGGCGGGUGCGGGAUGACGGCCUUCGGGGUGUAAACCCGUUUCAGCCAUGACGCGGUAGUGGCAGAAGAAGCACCGGCUAACUACGUGCCAGCCGCCGCGGUAAUAC